UCCUACGGGGAAGCAGCAGUAGGGAAUCUUCCGCAAUGGACGAAAGUCUGACGGAGCAACGCCGCGUGAGUGAUGAAGGUUUUCGGAUCGUAAAGCUCUGUUGUUAGGGAAGAACAAGUACAAGAGUAACUGCUUGUACCUUGACGGUACCUAACCAGAAAGCCACGGCUAACUACGUGCCAGCAGCCGCGGUAAUACGUAGGUGGCAAGCGUUGUCCGGAAUUAUUGGGCGUAAAGCGCGCGCAGGCGGUCCUUUAAGUCUGAUGUGAAAGCCCACGGCUCAACCGUGGAGGGUCAUUGGAAACUGGGGGACUUGAGUGCAGAAGAGAAGAGUGGAAUUCCACGUGUAGCGGUGAAAUGCGUAGAGAUGUGGAGGAACACCAGUGGCGAAGGCGACUCUUUGGUCUGUAACUGACGCUGAGGCGCGAAAGCGUGGGGAGCAAACAGGAUUAGAUACCCUGGUAGUCCACGCCGUAAACGAUGAGUGCUAAGUGUUAGAGGGUUUCCGCCCUUUAGUGCUGCAGCAAACGCAUUAAGCACUCCGCCUGGGAGACGCGGACGUUC
rnacentral:rRNA from 2 species